rnacentral:lncRNA from 1 species
AGCAAAUCAAACAUUGAGGCUCAGAUUUGUAAUACUGACGAUCCGGCAAGAUACACUGGAAUCAUCGCCAUGCCUGCAAGCACCGGUUGCAGGGUAACCUGUCAUCUGGAUUGCCACGCCAAGAUACAGGUACAAUCUCUUUCCUGCACUAUCGAUUUGCUCAGAGGAAGAAGAAAAUCAUCAUCAUAGCCUCGGAAUUUUCGCCAAUUAUUAUUAUUAUGACUACUAUUGAGUCUCACUUUGGGGUUGAGAGUUUCGAGAGAACAAGCAAAGAUUAAGGGGUCGUUUGGUAGUUGUUUAACUGAAAAGGGCUGUUGAAUUCAUGUUUUUUCAUAGCAAAAAUUGUAAUCACAGGUAUUGCAGAGCGGAGAAACAGCCCUUUGAAAUGUUCCCCUCUACUCUCUGCAACCCUCAUUCUUCGUCUCUAAGCUAAGCUUUUUUUCCUUGAACGGAGAAAUUCUCAUGAGUUCUUCGACCUGCGAAUUUCGCAGCUGAAACAACGACGACAACCCAGCAUAAUCUAACUCCUACUUUGUGGAGGUAACAAGAUUGUUUCCGAUACUCUAUCAGCAAAUGAAACAUUGAGGCUCAGAUUUGUUAUACUUACAACAUGGCAAGAGAGACUGGAAUCACCGCCAGGGCAGCAAGCACCGAUUGCAAGGUAACCUGAAAUCCAGGUUGCCCCCGCCAAGAUAUGGGUCCGAUUUCUUUCCUGCGCUAUCGAUUUGCUCAGGGAAAGAAGAAAAUCAUCAUCAUAGCCUCAGAAUUUUUGCAACAAUUAUUAUUAUUAUCAUUACUACUACUAUUGAUUCUCACUUUGGGGUUGAGAAUUUCGAGAGAACAAGCAAAGAUUUAGGGGUCAUUUGGUAGUUGUUCAACUGAAAAGGGCUGUUGAAUUUAUAUUUUUUCACAGCAAAAAUUGAAAUCACAGGUAUUGCAAAGAGGAGCAACAGCCCUUUGAAGUGUUCCCCUCUGCUCUCUGCAAUCCUCAUUAUUUGUCUCUGAGCUAAGCUUUUUUCCUUUAACGGACAAACUCGCAGACGCAACAACAAUAACAACAACAACAAAACCCAGUGUAAUCUCACUCCAAAGAUUGUUUCAGACACACUUUCAGCAAAUGAAACAAUGAGGCUCAGAUCUGUAGUACUUACAACACGGCAAGAGAGACUGGAAUCACCGCCAUGGCUGCAAGCACCAGUUCUGAUAUACUUCCAUCCGGGUUGCCUCGCCAAGAUACGGGUCCAAUUGCUCUCCCGCAUUGUCCAUUUGCUCAGAGAAAGAAGAAAAUCAUCAUCACAGCCUCAUAAUUUUCCCAUCAAUUAUUACUACUACUACUACUAUUGAUUAUCCCUUUGGAUUUGAGAAAUUGGAGAGAACAAGCAUAUUGCUGUUUAACAGCAAAAGGGCUAGUAAAGAUUCUUUUUUUCACAGCAAAAAUGAAAUCACAGGUAUUGCAGAGAGGAGCAACAUUCCCUUCAGAACUUUUUGCUUUGUUUCUCAACUCAAACAUUUUCCUACAUACGGAACACACCCUAAAUAUAACAAAAAAAAAAGCCAAGCUGAAUAGAGAAAAAUCGAGGCUCAGAUUUGUGUUAAGCUCGGGAAACAAGAGAGUCCAACAACGCCAUGGCUGCAAAAACCACCAGAAAAUCUGGGAGCAUGCCCCGCCAAGAUACAGUUUGGAUAACCUCAAAUGCCCAAUUAAUCAGAGCUCAGAAAGGAAUAAACAUUGGCAAAAAUCAUCAUUGCCUUUUUUAAGCCAUCCGAUUAUACUCAGCACCAUCGCUUCCACCAGCAACAAUCAAUGCUCCGGCAGAAGCAUUAGAGAAAAGAGAAUGCACUGUAUGGUCACAGCAUGGAAGUAUAGGUUAGAUUGAUAUGGUAUAUAUAUAUAUGUGUGUGUGUGUGUGUGUGUGUGUCUAAUUAGGUAGUUUUUCCUAAAAUUUAUAAAACGGUUGUUGGGGUUCUUACAUCAAGAGAGAAAAAAUUAGCUGAUGCAGAGAGUGGCAACCAACCUUACAAUGAAAAAUCCUCAACUCUCUGUAGCCUCAUUCUUUCCCUACUGAGAUUUUUGACAUUUGUUUCUCAACUCUUGAAAACAUUUUCUUUCAUAUCAAACACACCCUUGAUAUUAAACAAAAAAAAAAAAACCCAAAGCUGAAUAGAGAAAAAUUGAGACUCAGAUCUGUGUUAAGCUUGGGCAAAAGGAGAGUCCAACCAUGCCAUGGCUGCAAAAACCACAAGAAAAACUGGUGGCCCACCAAGAUACGGGUCUGAUAACCUCAAAUGCCCAAUUAAUCAGCUCAGCUUGGGCAAAAGGAGAGUCCAACCAUGCCAUGGCUGCAAAAACCACCAGAAAAGCUGGUGGCAUGCCCCGCCAAGAUACAGGUCUGAUAAUCUCAAAUGCCCGAUAAAUCAGCUCAUAAGGGAACAAAAAUUGGCAAAAAAUCAUCAUCACCUCUUUCAAGCCAUCCGAUUAUACUCACCAACAUCGCUUCCACUGGCAACAUUCAAUGCUCCGGCGGAAGCAUUAAAAAGGAGUUGAAAAAAAGAGUUGAAGGACAUAGAAACCCUUAAAACAAUAUGUAACAACAAUCCAAACUAGCUGUUAUUUAUGUACUCCCUCCGUUUAAAAUAGAUAAAAGGGUUGUUGGGAUCCUUACAGUAAUGGAGAAAUCAUUGGCUGAAUGUUGAGAGAGGCAACCACCCUUUCAAUGAAAAAUCUUCAACUCUUUGUAGCAUCAUUCAUUCCCUUCUGAGCUUUUUGUUUUGUGUAUCUCAACUCUCGAUAACAUAUUCCUUCAUACCAAACAUACCCUAAAUAUAACAAAAAAAGGCAAGUUGAACAGAGAAAAAUUUGAGGCUCAGAUUUGUGUUAAGCUCAGGCAACAAGAGAUUCCAACCACGCCAUGGCUGCAAAAGCCACCAGAAAAUCUGGGAGCAUGCCCCGCCAAGAUACGGGUGGUCAGAUAACAUCAAAUGCCCAAUUAAUCAGCACAGAAGGGAAUAAAAAUUGGCAAAAAUCAUCAUCGCCUCUUUCAAGCCGUCCGAUUAUACUCAGCACCAUUGCUUCCACCAGCUCCACCGGCAACAAUCAAUGCUCCGGCAGAAGCAUUAGAAAAAAGAAAAAAAAAAGAGUUGAAAGGCAAAGAAACCCAUUUCAAACAAAAGUUGUUAAUUAUAUACUUCCUCUGUUUAAAAUCGAUAAAAAGGCUGUUGGGAUUGUUACAGUAAUGGGGAAAUCACUGGCUGAAAGCAGAGAGAGGCAACCACCCUUCCAAUGAAAAAUCCUCAAACUCACUGUUAGCCUCAUUCUUUUCCUUCUAAGCUUUUGUUUAUAGUACCCUGAAGCUGUUAACAAUACUCCCUCAGUUAAAAUUAACAAAGAGACCGCUAAAUUGAGGCUCAGAUCUGUGUUAAGAUCGAGCAAAAAGAGAGUCAACCACGCCAUGGCUGCAUAAACCAGCAUGCCCCACCAAGAUACGGGUCGGAUAACCUUAAAUGCUCAAUUAAUCAGCUUAGAAGGGAAUAAAAUUGACAAAGAUCAUCAUCGCCUCUUUCAAACCGUCCGAUUAUACUCACCACCAUAGCUUCCACCAGCUCCACCGGCAACAUUCAAUGCUCCGGCAGAAGCAUUAAAAAGGAGUUGAAAAGAAAGGCUGAAGGGCAUAAAAACCUCUGAAACAAUAUGUAACAACAAUCCAAACAAGCUGUAAUAUAUAUACUCCCUCCGUUUAAAAUUGAUAAAAGGAUUGUUGGGAUCCUUACAGUAAUGGAGAAAUCAUUGGCUGAAUGUUGAGAGAGGCAACCACCCUUGCAAUGAAAAAUCCUCAACUCUUUGUAGCCUCAUUCAUUCCCUUCUGAGCUUUUUGUUUUUUGUAUCUCAACUCUCGAUAACAUUUUCCUUCAUACCAAACACACCCUAAAUAUAACAAAAAAAGCCAAGCUGAACAGAGAAAAAUUUGAGGCUCAGAUUUGGGUUAAGCUCAGGCAACAAGAGAUUCCAACCAGGCCAUGGCUGCAAAAGCCACCAGAAAAUCUGGGAGCAUGCCCCGCCAAUAUACGGGUUGGAUAACCUCAAAUGCCUGAUUAAUCAGCUCAGAAGGGAACAAACAUUGGCAAAAAUCAUCAUUGCCUCUUUCAAGCUGUCCAAUUAUUCUCAGCACCAUUGCUUCCACCAGCUCCAGUGGCAACAAUCAAUGAUCCGGCGGAACCAUUAAAAAGGAGUUUAAAAAAAGAGUUGGAAGGGCAUAUAGAAACCCAUUUCAAACAAAAGUUGAUAAUCAUAUACUUCCUCUGUUUAAAAUUGAUAAGGGGUUGUUGGGAUUCUUACAAUAAUGGAGAAAUCAUUGACUGACUGCAGUGAGAGGCAACCACCCUUUCAACGAAAAUCCUCAAACUCCCUGUUAGCCUCAUUCUUAUAGUACCCUGAAGCUGGUAAUACUACUCCCUCAGUUUAAAAUUGACGAAGAGACCAGUGCAUUGAGGCUCAGAUCUGUGUUAAACUAGAGUAUAAAGAGAGUCCAACCACGCCAUGGCUGCAAAAAACAGCAUGCCCCGCCAAGAUACGGGUCGGAUAACCUCCAAUGCUCAAUUAAUCAGCUCAGAAGGGAAUAAAGUUACAAGAAUCAUCAUCGCCUCUUCCAAGCCAUCCGAAGCAAUAUAAGCAACUGUUAGAAAAAUUAUAGGAAAUAUAAUUGAAGAAGAAAAUGGCUUUAAGGCAUGAAGAAUCGCUUUCCUUAAAGAGAUAUUGCCCGUAUACAUAUUGGGAAAAAUACAAGCAAUUGCCUUCAAGAUACAACAAAGUCCUUGUAUAUACAUGCAUAUUUUUCUUUUUGGGCUACUUCUAGAGAGUCCUUAUAUUUAUAAAACUUAAGAGAUCGACUUUUCAUAAUAGUCAUGUUUUUUCAUAGUCAUGAAGCAUAAAAUCAACUAGUGAAACUUCUUCUUAAGUAGUCUUGACAAUAGAGGUCAUCUAUCAGAGUAACUAUGACAGAAAGCUUCAUUUGGAUGUUAAUCCAUGGCUUACUUAAAUUACUCAUCAUUUAGGAUUGAAUUCCUUCAUGCACAGAAUAAAGACUAGAAGUAUUGAUUUAUUGUUUAGGUAAUGAGGUCAAUCACUAGUGUGCCCAAAAAAAACCUAGGUAGGACGGAAAAAACCUCAAAAAUUAGUGGUAUCCACAAAACAAGCAAUAACUGCAAAAUUUGCAUAAACUAUAAAAUGAUCUUACUCCCAAUAUGAUUUAUAAAUACACUGUCUUGCUCACAAAAGAUUUAUGAUUUGGCUCGUAUUCUAACACUAACUGUGGUGCUCCUGCAUAAAUUGAUGCAGUUGUAUUACAUCAUGUUAAAAAAUGAACAAUCAAAUUACAGUUUAAACUACAACAGGUCAGGUUGACGAAAUUAUGAACUUUCACCUAUAAGAAAACUAAGCAUAUCCGCAACAAAGUAACUCAAAAAUAUAUGUUAGUACUCAAAUGCCUAGAUUUCUAGACAAAGGAAUACAUUUCUGGGCACAGGCUUUGUAAUUACUAUACAGAGUUCAAAAACAAGGGAUGACAUUAAGGCACACUUAUCUCAGAGAAAGCGCUUCCCUAUUCAUUAUAAUUGAAAAUAGGGUAGUUUUAAAUAUUAAAAAGGAACAUAUUUAUCAAAACAAAGAAACACAAAAAUAGACGUUGACAUUCAUAGAGUUCUAGUCAAAAGAAAACAUUUUUAGGCACACUCGUAUGGAAAAAGCACCUCUAGGAACUCGGUAAGCUUAUACUGGGCAUGCUGUUUUUGUUGUUGGAAUAGGCUCAGAUUCGCCUUCUCUCAGGAAAAAACCAAACUUCAAAAAAACACUAUGGCUUCAAGCAUCAGUUAGCUAACUUAUGAGACAGAAAAGGAAGACCAAAAAUGGAGCUUUCUCCUCCACUUCUCACAGACCCAUCUGCACAUCAAGAUAGAGUCUUUUCUAGCUCAAUGAGAAUAUGUCUGUUUCAUCUUCCAAAGAAAUUCUCUGAACUUUUUGCUUUCUUUAAGGGCACCUUAAGUUUAAGAUCUCCGGGUUGCCCCGCUAAGAUACAGAUCCAAUUGCUCUCCCGCACUAUUGAUUUGCUCAAAGAAAGAAGAAAAUCAUCAUCACAGCCUCAUCCAUCCAAAUGAUAGAAAAUAAAUACUCUCUCCGGUUCAACUUGUUUGUCUUCCCUUUUUGGUUUGUUCCAAAAAGAAUGUCUCUUUACUUUUUUGGCAACACUUAAUUCUAACUUUCCACAUGACAUCUUUAAAACCACAAUAUUAAAGGGCACCUUAAGUUUAAGAUAUCCGGGUUUCCCCGCUAAGAUACGGAUCCAAUUGCUCUCCCGCACUAUUGAUUUUCUCAAAGAAAGAAGAAAAUCGACAUCACAGCCUCAGAAUUUUCGCAACAAUUAUUAUUAUUAUAACUGGGUGUGAGAAUUUGGAGAGAACAAGCAAAGACUUAAGGGUCAUUUGGUCGCUGUUUAGCUGCAACAAGAGCUGUUGAAUUUUUCUUUUUUCACAGCAACACUGAAAUCACAGGUAUUGCAGAGAGGAGUGACAGCCCUUUGAACUUCCUCUCUGCUCUCUGCAACCCUCAUUCUUCGUCUCUGAACUUUUACUUUUCUAGGCUAAGCUUUUUACCUUUUAUGGGAAAUUCUCAUAUGUGUUUCGACCUGCGAAUUUCCCAACUGCAACAACAACAACCCAGUAUAAUUUGACCUCCACCUUGUGGAGGUCAAGAAGCGAUUUUCAAUAGACCCUAAGCAAAUCAAACAUUGAGGCUCAGAUUUGUAAUACUGACGAUCCGGCAAGAUACACUGGAAUCAUCGCCAUGCCUGCAAGCACCGGUUGCAGGGUAACCUGUCAUCUGGAUUGCCACGCCAAGAUACAGGUACAAUCUCUUUCCUGCACUAUCGAUUUGCUCAGAGGAAGAAGAAAAUCAUCAUCAUAGCCUCGGAAUUUUC